rnacentral:rRNA from 1 species
AACGCGAAGAACCUUACCAGGUCUUGACAUCUGGGUGUAAGCACUAGGGAGAUAGUGCCCCUCUUCGGAGCACCCAAGACAGGUGGUGCAUGGUUGUCGUCAGCUCGUGUCGUGAGAUGUUGGGUUAAGUCCCGCAACGAGCGCAACCCUUGAUCUUAGUUGCCAGCACUUCGGGUGGGCACUCUAAGAUGACUGCCGGUGACAAACCGGAGGAAGGUGGGGAUGACGUCAAAUCAUCAUGCCCCUUAUGACCUGGGCUACACACGUACUACAAUGGUCGGUACAACGGGAAGCGAAGCCGCGAGGUGGAGCCAAUCCUUAAAAGCCGAUCUCAGUUCGGAUUGCAGGCUGCAACUCGCCUGCAUGAAGUCGGAAUUGCUAGUAAUCGCGGAUCAGCAUGCCGCGGUGAAUACGUUCCCGGGCCUUGUACACACCGGUAUCUC